GCAACCCUCAUCCUUAGUUACCAACAGGUAAUGCUGGGCACUCUAAGGAAACUGCCAGUGAUAAACUGGAGGAAGGUGGGGAUGAUGUCAAAUCAGCACGGCCCUUAUAAGGUGGGCUACACACGUGCUACAAUGGCAACUACAAUAGGUUGCGAGACCGCAAGGUUUAGCUAAUCCAUAAAAGUUGUCUCAGUUCGGAUUGUUCUCUGCAACUCGAGAGCAUGAAGUCGGAAUCGCUAGUAAUCGUGGAUCAUCACGCCACGGUGAAUACGUUCUCGGGUCUUGUACACACUGCCCGUCACGCCAUGGGAAUUGGCUUAACUCGAAGCUGGUGUGCUAACCGCAAGGAAGCAGCCAUUUAAGGUUGGGUCAGUGACUAGGGUG
rnacentral:rRNA from 1 species